rnacentral:lncRNA from 1 species
AGCUUUGCUGAUGUUGGUUUCCCUGAGAGAGGCACAGGAACUUCUCCUGAAGUUCCUCCUGAUCCCUCCUGCUGACUGGAGCCCAGGCGGCCUGGCUGUCUCUGCUAGGUCUUGUCAUCACUGUUGCUAACUAACCCAAGACUACCGAACUGGACUGCUGGUGUAUCCAUGAAGUGCUUGUGAGUGGAUCGAGCUGUGGCUGCCUGCUAACCUGUGAACUGAACUGCUGAUUUCCAGACGACAGGAGUUGCUCCAAAGAACCUUUCUAAACAGAUCCACUCUCCCCCCCCACCCCUGUAUCCUGUCAUGGUGUCUGUUCAUAGCAAUGGAAGACUUUUAGCUAAGACAACAUGUGACGAGCAAAGACUGACAGAGAGAGUGGAAUGGAGAUGUGCCCUGGUUGUAUUGACGAAGUUCAUCAGACAGUUUGUGGAGAGACCCGAUAUUAGUUUUCACCAGGCCGGCGUCAUUGAUUUCGUAAUAGUAUUCCUCUUCCAUAAACAUGUAGGUGCCUCCCUCGUCUUCCUUGAGGACGUCCAAUGUUCUCUGGUUCUGCAUGGCCACCCUGGGCCUAGCUGCUUUGGACCUAGCAGAUUUGGAGGGAACACCCAAACUUGGCAGGAUGUACGUAUUAGGGACAGAAGAUAAAGUUGAGUUUGGGGAGAAAAGGAUUUCCCCCAUGUGUACACUUACAACCUUUAGGUCCUGGGAGUUCCAAGACCAGGGGGGGGGGAAGAGACCCCACCCUCAGGAACAGGCAGGUAACACCGCUAUGUGGGACUGGUGGCCAUCCUGUUGAACCCAGUGCAGAUGGGUCUCUGCUACUAAGUGCUUCCAAGCACAGACCGGGACUUGAACUGUCCAUCCCUCACCUGGAGUCUGUCGGGGAAUCUUUUCGGAAGAUGCCUACAUGGAGGUGGGAGAAGGUCCUAUACUAAUACGGUCUUAAGUCGGCCUCUUUACUCCUUUGAACUCGGCAAGAAGAUGCAGAAGAUGCAAGUGGACACUCAGCCCUAUAAGACCAAGUCCGCACACUUGAAGGCAUUUUCUGGUUGUCCAAGUUGGCUUUCAGGGCUGACCAAAGGGCCCAGUUCUGGGGACACAAAGAACAGUGCAGAGGGGCUUACAGACAGAGGCAAUGGGUCGUCGAGAGUGCAGUCACCGUGGACAGAGAGUCGUCAGAGCCCAGAAGCUACUAUAGACCAAGCCAGGACUGCGGUGGCCCCAGUGGCGUGUACAAGAUUCCAUCUGGCCAGCUCUGCAUCUUUUUUCUAUCCCAUUACUUACUGUGAGACAUGGUUGGUUAGUGGGAACCGUCAUUGUAAAUCAAGUUUCUUUAGAUAAAGAAAAAAGUACAAAGUUACUUUGAGACCUGU